AUGAACGCUGGCUACAGGCUUAACACAUGCAAGUCGAGGGGAAACGGCAUUGAGUGCUUGCACUGAAUGGACGUCGACCGGCGCACGGGUGAGUAACGCGUAUCCAACCUUCCCGUUACUGCGGGAUAACCUGCCGAAAGGCAGACUAAUACCGCAUGUUCUUCGAUGACGGCAUCAGAUUCGAAGCAAAGAUCCGUCGGUAACGGAGGGGGAUGCGUCUGAUUAGCUAGUUGGCGGGGCGACGGCCCACCAAGGCGACGAUCAGUAGGGGUUCUGAGAGGAAGGUCCCCCACAUUGGAACUGAGACACGGUCCAAACUCCUACGGGAGGCAGCAGUGAGGAAUAGUGGUCAAUGGGCGGAAGCCUGAACCAGCCAAGUAGCGUGCAGGAUGACGGCCCUACGGGUUGUAAACUGCUUUUAUGCGGGGAUAAAGUGAGGGACGCGUCCCUUUUUGCAGGUACCGCAUGAAUAAGGACCGGCUAAUUCCGUG
rnacentral:rRNA from 1 species